GCCGCCGCCUCUGAAGCAGAAGCAACAACAACUGCUCCUGUUGAGGUGAAGGAGAAAGAGAUAGUUGUUGAAGCAGAAGCAAAGAAAGAGGAAGAACCAGCACCAGCACCAGCACCAGCACCUGCACCUGCACCUGCACCUGCACCUGCACCUGCACCUGCGGCGGCACCUGCAGCUGAGGUGGCACCUGCUGAGGUAGCACCUGCAGCUGACGUGGCACCUGCCAAGGUGGAAGAAGCACCUGCAGCAGUAGCAGCACCAGAACCACCAAAAGCUUGAUGAAUCUUUCAAUUUGUUUGUCUCUCUGUGUAAGAGUUGAUUUUUUAUUUUAUUUUUCUUUGUCUGUUGAUUUUUCUGUGUUUUGUGGUCACUGUAUAAGAAAGAAGACAAAAACAUGAUUUGUUAUAUUUUUUGUUUGUGUUUUUCUCCCUUCUCUCUUUCUCGUGUUAGUUUGUACUUUGUACAAUAUUCUAUGUACAUUUUUCAAAGUUUUUCCUUUUGAUUCUUCAAUACUAUAAAAUGUGCCUUGAUAUAUAUGGUUUCUCAUUUCCUUUUUUCUCAGCUGACUU
rnacentral:lncRNA from 1 species